UGAAAGGCACACUGAGGACAGGCAGGGAAGGAAAUACAAAUCAUUUGCCUAAUGAGCAGACAAACUUUUCCUAGCUGUUUUCACUGCAUUUCCAGAGGAAUAAUUCUGAUUUCUCCUGCCAGGUUUCUGCUAUUGGUCUGUGCUCUUCCUGCUGCUGUCGUCAUCCCAGCUAGCCCUUGUCCACUCAGGAAAUUCAUGCAAAGCCAGACCCUAAUGGAUACCAUCUUUGCUCAGAAAAUGUCCCUAAACAGCCUGGGCCAAGGAUGUUUGGAGUGUGACGUGAACUUGUGUCCUCUCUCCAGCCUCUGCCUCCUCCUGGGAUCACAGGCUCCAGUCCAGCCUGAGGACGCCAGGAUGCUCCACACCCCGUGGUGCCUGGACAGAAGAUGCCCUUGGCCCUGAGUGAGUGCUGCCCUGCAGGGAGCUGCUGGAGCUGAGGGCACGGCCAGGAGCUGCCACAAGGACAGGCUUCAACCAGGGCUGGGGCUCCCUUUGGGUUCCACUCUCAAUCCACGUUGAAGAUUGCAAUGCAAGAUGUUUGCCAUUACCAUUUAUGGCAGAUUACCUUUGUCAAGUGGGCAGUUUGCCUUAUCUCUCUCUUUGAGUGACCACAUUCACACCUCGGGAGGGGACAUUGCUGAUAACAGCUAUUGAAUGUCACUGCAUGGCUGAUAAGAACUAGAACAUCCCAUUGGGAGAUGCUCCGCCCAGAGGGAGGAGCCAAGCAUUCCUACCCAGAUAUAAUCCAGAGGUUUUGAGACACCAGCACAGCUUCUCCACAGGAUUCCCCAGAGGAACAGCAGCUGCCUCUUCUUCCACUGGAUCUUCAGAGGAAGAAUACAUCCUUCUCUACAGGACCCCCUUGCUCCAACAGAACCAGCCCUGACACUGCAGGAGGGCUGCAGCCACAUUUCCAAUUGGACUGCUACACGCAGAGUGUCAGGUUGGGGUCUGACUCUGGCAGUGUUGUUCUAGUGUACUGCAUUGUUUAUUUUAUCCUUUUAUUUUUUCCUUUUCCCUAUUAAAUAACUUAUUUCCUGCUCCCACAUUUUUGCCUGAGAGCCCCUAAUUUAAAAUUUAUAGCAAUUCAGAGGGGUGAGGAGGGUUUACAUUCUCCAUUUCAGGGGAGGCUCCUGCCUUCCUCAGCAGCCUCCUGGCUUUCCAAACCAAGACAAUCCACAGCAGCUGCCCACCCCUCUGGCAGAAGAGGAGGCCAUGAAACAU
rnacentral:lncRNA from 1 species